CGGGCUAUAGCGCAGCUUGGUAGCGCGUCCGUCUGGGGGACGGAAGGUCGUGGGUUCAAAUCCCGCUAGCCCGACCA
rnacentral:tRNA from 9 species